GACACUAUGGCCGAGUGGUUAAGGCGACAGAUUCGAACUCCUUUGAUUAUCUGUUUCCCUCUGGGAGCGCAGGUUCAAAUCCUGCUGGUGUCG